rnacentral:lncRNA from 10 species
GCAGGAUAUAUGAAGGUACAGGGAUCAGGUCAACAUGACGCCAUUUGCAGACCUAACCUUAUAGUAGGAAGACUGGCUCCAAGGCAGCUGGGGUUCUGGAUACAAGAGUGCUGUGCUGUGCACAUAGACAAGAGCCCUGCUCUCAAGAAGCUUACAUUCUAGUAAGGAAUGGGAGACAGGCAACAGACAACUGAACAAGUGCUUAGCACAGUGCCUGACACAGGGACUACUCAAUGAAUGUUUGCAGAUUUGAGCUACUGACCCAAGAAGAAGGUGUGGCAGUUAUGAACUUUGUCACCAAAUUGGGAUCUCAGAAGAACUGUGCAACUGACUUAUGCUUUAGUAUGUGGUGACCACAGUUGGCCUAGGGAGAAGAAUUGAGUGGAGAGGGGGAAGUAAUCUUGAGUCUGGGGCUUAAGAAAGUGGUGUAAUAGCAAGAGGCUGUGACCAACCGCCAUAAGUAUCUCGCUUUGUGGGUGGACAGGAGGCCUCUCCUGGGACCAGUGGAUGGGUGAGCACCCAGUAAUCACAAGGAAACCCUUCUGUUAAUGUAUACGUAUAGACACACGUAGUGACUGCUUACCAGAAUUUCAUGAAUCUCAG